rnacentral:rRNA from 1 species
UGAGGAAUAUUGGACAAUGGGUGAAAGCCUGAUCCAGCCAUCCCGCGUGAAGGAUGACGGUCCUAUGGAUUGUAAACUUCUUUUGUAUAGGAAUAAACCUUUCUACGUGUAGAAAGCUGAAGGUACUAUACGAAUAAGCACCGGCUAACUCCGUGCCAGCAGCCGCGGUAAUACGGAGGGUGCAAGCGUUAUCCGGAUUUAUUGGGUUUAAAGGGUCCGUAGGCGGACCGAUAAGUCAGUGGUGAAAUCUCAUAGCUUAACUAUGAAACUGCCAUUGAUACUGUCGGUCUUGAGUAAAUUUGAAGUGGCUGGAAUAAGUAGUGUAGCGGUGAAAUGCAUAGAUAUUACUUAGAACACCAAUUGCGAAGGCAGGUCACUAAGAUUUAACUGACGCUGAUGGACGAAAGCGUGGGUAGCGAACA